UGGGAUUAUAAAGGGGCUAUACUGGGAUGAUAAUAGGAUUAGAAUGGGGUUAUGCUGGGAUUAGAAUGGGGGGGCAAUGGGAUUAUAGUGGGGUUAUGAUGGGAUUAUAAUGGGGGGCAAUGGGGUUGUACUGGGAUUAUAAUGGGAUUAUACUGGGAUCAUACUGGGAUUAAAAUGGGGUUCUAUUGGGAUUAGAAUGAGAGGCCAAUGGGGUUAGAAUGGCGUUAUAAUGGGGUUCCAUUGGGAUCAUACUGGGAUUAGAAUGGGGUUAUACUGGGAUUAGAAUGGGGGGCCAAUGGGAUUAGAAUGGGGUUAUACUGGGGUUAUACUGGGGUUAUAAUGGGGUUAUAAUGGGAUUAUAAUGGGGGGCAAUGGGGCUAUACGGGGAUUAGAAUGGGGUUAUACUGGGAUCAUACUGGGGUUAGAAUGGGGUUACACUGGGAUUAUAAUGGGGGGGCAAUGGGGUUAUACUGGGAUUAGAAUGGGGUUCUAUUGGGAUUAGAUGGGGGGGCAAUGGGAUUAUAAUGGGGUUAUAAUGGGGUUCCAUUGGGAUCAUACUGGGAUUAGAAUGGGGUUAUACUGGGAUUAGAAUGGGGGGCAAUGGGAUUAUAAUGGGGUUAUAAUGGGAUCAUACUGGGAUUAGAAUGGGGUUAUAUUGGGAUUAGAAUGGGAUUAGAAUGGGAUUAUAAUGGGGUUAUAAUGGGAUUAGAAUGAGGGGGUAAUGGGAUUAGAAUGGGGUUAUAAUGGGAUUAUACUGGGAUUAGAAUGGGGUGAGAAUGGGGUUAUAAUGGGGUUAUACUGGGAUUAAACUGGGAUUAGAAUGGGGUGAGAAUGGGAUUACAGUGGGGGCAAUGGGGUUAUACUGGGAUUAGAAUGGGGUUCUAAUGGGAUUAGAAUGGGGGGCAAUGGGAUUAUAAUGGGAUUAUAAUGGGGUUAUAAUGGGGUUGUACUGGGAUCAUACUGGGAUUAGAAUGGGGUGAGAAUGGGAUUCCAAUGGGGGCAAUGGGGUUAUACUGGGAUUAUAAUGGGGUUAUAUUGGGAUCAUACUGGGAGUAUAAUGGGGUUAUACUGGGAUUAGAAUGAGGCGGCAAUGGGAUUAUAAUGGGGUUAUAAUGGGGUUAUACUGGGAUUAGAAUGGGGUUAUACUGGGGUUAUAGUGGGGUUAUACUGGGAUUAAACUGGGAUUAGAAUGGGGUGAGAAUGGGAUUACAAUGGGGGCAAUGGGGUUAAACUGGGAUUAGAAUGGGGUUCUAAUGGGGUUAGAAUGGGGGGCAAUGGGAUUAUAAUGGGGUUAUAAUGGGGUUGUACUGGGAUCAUACUGGGAUUAGAAUGGGGUGGUAAUGGGAUUCCAAUGGGGGCAAUGGGGUUAUACUGGGAUUAGAAUGGGGUUCUAUUGGGAUCAUACUGGGAGUAUAAUGGGGUUAUACUGGGAUUAGAAUGAGGCGGCAAUGGGAUUGUAAUGGGGUUAUAAUGGGGUUAUACUGGGAUUAAACUGGGAUUAGAAUGGGGGGGCAAUGGGGUCAUACUGGGAUUUGCAGCCCGUGCAUAGGAAUGCAACCUCGUUGCAACACGUGCAUUGCAACGUGAGCACCGCACACCUCAAGGGUUGCAACGCAGCUGCUUGGCAGCUCCUGCACCGCUGCUGUGCAUUGCAACGGGAAGGGAUUGUGCUGGAGAUUGGCAGCCCGUGCAUCAGAAUGCAAGCCCAUUGCAACACGUGCAUUGCAACGUGAGCACUGCACACUUCGAGGGUUGCAACGCAGCUACUUGGCAGCUCCUGCACUGCUGCUGUGCAUUGCAACGGGAAGGGAUUGUGCUGGAGAUUGGCAGCCCGUGCAUCAGAAUGCAAACUCAUUGCAACAUGUGCAUUGCAACGUGAGCACCUCACACCUCGAUGGUUGCAACGCAGCCACUUUGCAGCUCCUGCACUGCUGCUGUGCAUUGCAAUGGGCACGUGUUGCCUGCAACAUUUGCAUCCUGUGCAUCACAAUGCAAGCACUUUGCAACCCGUGCAUUGCACCUGGAACACCUUGCACCCAGAGGAUUGCAAUGAGUGCAGUUUGCACCUCCUGCACUGCUGCUGUGUAUUGCAAUGGGAAUGGAUGGUGUUGGAGAUUUGCAGCCCGGGCAUCAGAAUGCAAGCGCAUUGCAACAUGUGCAUUGCACCUGGAACACCUUACACCCAGAGGAUUGCAACGAGUGCACUUAGCACCUCCUGCACUCCUCCUGCACAUUGCUCCAUGCACGUGUUGCCUCCAACAUUUGCAUCCCGUGCAUCACAACACAAGCCCAUUGCAACCCAUGUAUCAGAGCCUGAGUACCUUCCACCCAGAGGACUGCAAUGAGUGCAGUUUACACCCCUGCACUGCUGCUGUGCAUUGUAAUGGGAAUGGACUGUGUUGGAGAUUUGCACCCCGUGCAUCGCAACGCAAGCGCAUUGCAACUCAUGCAUCACACCCUGAACACUUUGCACCCAGAGCACUACAGUGCAGGUGUAGUGGACCCCCUGUGUCAUUGCUGUGCAUUGCAAUGGGAAUGGAUUGCUCUGGAGAUUUGCACCCCGUGCAUGGCAACGCAAGCGCAUUGCAACCCAUGCAUCACACCCUGAACACUUUGCACCCAGAGCACUACAGUGCAGGUGUAGUGGACCCCCUGUGUCAUUGCUGUGCAUUGCAAUGGGAAUGGAUUGCUCUGGAGAUUUGCACCCCAUGCAUCGCAACGCAAGCGCAUUGCAACCCGUGCAUCACACCCUGAACACUCUGCACCCAGAGCACUGCAAUGCAGGUGCAGUGGACCCCCUGUUGUCAUUGCUGUGCAUUGCAACGGGAAUGUACCGUGCAGGAGAUUUGCACCCCGUGCAUGGCAACGCAAGCCCGCUGCGACCCCGCUGCGACCCGUGCAUCGCCACGUGCACCCCUUGCACCCUCCCCACCCCAACAACGCGCACACACAGCGCCGUGCACCGCUUUUACUCCAUUCCACCACUCCC
ensembl:lncRNA